rnacentral:rRNA from 1 species
CAGUCGCCGCGGGAAUACAGAGGGUGCAAGCGUUAAUCGGAAUUACUGGGCGUAAAGCGCGCGUAGGUGGUUUGUUAAGUUGGAUGUGAAAUCCCCGGGCUUAACCUGGGAACUGCAUCCAAAACUGGCAAGCUAGAGUAUGGUAGAGGGUGGUGGAAUUUCCUGUGUAGCGGUGAAAUGCGUAGAUAUAGGAAGGAACACCAGUGGCGAAGGCGACCACCUGGACUGAUACUGACACUGAGGUGCGAAAGCGUGGGGAGCAAACAGGAUUAGAUACCCCAGUAGUCCCUGUCUCUUAUAC